rnacentral:rRNA from 1 species
AUUGAACGCUGGCGGCAUGCCUUACACAUGCAAGUCGAACGGCAGCACGGGUGCUUGCACCUGGUGGCGAGUGGCGAACGGGUGAGUAAUACAUCGGAACAUGUCCUGUAGUGGGGGAUAGCCCGGCGAAAGCCGGAUUAAUACCGCAUACGAUCUACGGAUGAAAGCGGGGGACCUUCGGGCCUCGCGCUAUAGGGUUGGCCGAUGGCUGAUUAGCUAGUUGGUGGGGUAAAGGCCUACCAAGGCGACGAUCAGUAGCUGGUCUGAGAGGACGACCAGCCACACUGGGCCUGAGACACGGCCCAGACUCCUACGGGAGGCAGCAGUGGGGAAUUUUGGACAAUGGGCGAAAGCCUGAUCCAGCAAUGCCGCGUGUGUGAAGAAGGCCUUCGGGUUGUAAAGCACUUUUGUCCGGAAAGAAAUCCUUGGCUCUAAUACAGUCGGGGGAUGACGGUACCGGAAGAAUAAGCACCGGCUACUACGUG